rnacentral:lncRNA from 1 species
AUGAUACAAACAAACGUUCCUAUUAGGGAUCCGACAUGAGGCUAUGUUAUUCUAGGUUUAAAUCCUGGGGGAGUGUUUUAGACCUGGCUUACCCAGGCGGACAGCUCGAGCCGAGGUGAGGGUAACGUACCGGGAGCACGAAAGUCUACCCGGCCUAGUUACUUGUCCCAGCCUCGUUCUAAUUGGUAUGACUUCUAACAGAAAAGUGGGCCACGCGCACGUGUGCACC